rfam:Cavia porcellus supercont2_81 genomic scaffold, whole genome shotgun sequence.
GUGGGCUACGGGGACAUGAAGCCCAUCACAGUGGGGGGCAAGAUUGUGGGGUCCCUGUGUGCCAUCGCAGGUGUCCUCACCAUCGCUUUGCCGGUACCCGUCAUUGUCUCUAAC